UGGCGAACGGGUGAGUAACACGUGGGCAAUCUGCCCUUCACUCUGGGACAAGCCCUGGAAACGGGGUCUAAUACCGGAUAAUACUCUGUCCCGCAUGGGACGGGGUUGAAAGCUCCGGCGGUGAAGGAUGAGCCCGCGGCCUAUCAGCUUGUUGGUGGGGUAAUGGCCUACCAAGGCGACGACGGGUAGCCGGCCUGAGAGGGCGACCGGCCACACUGGGACUGAGACACGGCCCAGACUCCUACGGGAGGCAGCAGUGGGGAAUAUUGCACAAUGGGCGAAAGCCUGAUGCAGCGACGCCGCGUGAGGGAUGACGGCCUUCGGGUUGUAAACCUCUUUCAGCAGGGAAGAAGCGAAAGUGACGGUACCUGCAGAAGAAGCGCCGGCUAACUACGUGCCAGCAGCCGCGGUAAUACGUAGGGCGCAAGCGUUGUCCGGAAUUAUUGGGCGUAAAGAGCUCGUAGGCGGCUUGUCACGUCGGAUGUGAAAGCCCGGGGCUUAACCCCGGGUCUGCAUUCGAUACGGGCUAGCUAGAGUGUGGUAGGGGAGAUCGGAAUUCCUGGUGUAGCGGUGAAAUGCGCAGAUAUCAGGAGGAACACCGGUGGCGAAGGCGGAUCUCUGGGCCAUUACUGACGCUGAGGAGCGAAAGCGUGGGGAGCGAACAGGAUUAGAUACCCUGGUAGUCCACGCCGUAAACGUUGGGAACUAGGUGUUGGCGACAUUCCACGUCGUCGGUGCCGCAGCUAACGC
rnacentral:rRNA from 1 species